AUUGAACGCCGGCGGCAUGCUUUACACAUGCAAGUCGAACGGCAGCACGGGGGCAACCCUGGUGGCGAGUGGCGAACGGGUGAGUAAUGCAUCGGAACGUGCCCCGUCGUGGGGGAUAACACAUCGAAAGAUGUGCUAAUACCGCAUACGACCUGAGGGUGAAAGCGGGGGACCGCAAGGCCUCGCGCGAUGGGAGCGGCCGAUGUCUGAUUAGCUAGUUGGUGGGGUAAAGGCCUACCAAGGCGACGAUCAGUAGCUGGUCUGAGAGGACGACCAGCCACACUGGGGCUGGGACACGGCCCAGACUCCUACGGGAGGCAGCAGUGGGGAAUUUUGGACAAUGGGGGCAACCCUGAUCCAGCCAUGCCGCGUGCGGGAAGAAGGCCUUCGGGUUGUAAACCGCUUUUGGCAGGAACGAAACGGUGCGGGCGAAUACCCUGUGCUAAUGACGGUACCUGCAGAAUAAGCACCGGCUAACUACGUGCCAGCCGCCGCGGUAACAC
rnacentral:rRNA from 1 species